rnacentral:tRNA from 1 species
GGCCCCGUCGUCUAGUGGCCUAGGACUCCAGGUUUUCAUCCUGGCAACGCGGGUUCGAGUCCCGCCGGGGUCACCA